GUACACUCCUACGGGAGGCAGCAGUGGGGAAUUUUGGACAAUGGGCGAAAGCCUGAUCCAGCAAUGCCGCGUGCAGGAUGAAGGCCUUCGGGUUGUAAACUGCUUUUGUACGGAACGAAAAAGCUCCUUCUAAUACAGGGGGCCCAUGACGGUACCGUAAGAAUAAGCACCGGCUCACUACGUGCCAGCAGCCGCGGUAAUACGUAGGGUGCGAGCGUUAAUCGGAAUUACUGGGCGUAAAGCGUGCGCAGGCGGUUAUGUAAGACAGAUGUGAAAUCCCCGGGCUCAACCUGGGAACUGCAUUUGUGACUGCAUGGCUAGAGUACGGUAGAGGGGGAUGGAAUUCCGCGUGUAGCAGUGAAAUGCGUAGAUAUGCGGAGGAACACCGAUGGCGAAGGCAAUCCCCUGGACCUGUACUGACGCUCAUGCACGAAAGCGUGGGGAGCAAACAGGAUUAGAUACCCGGGUAGUCCCAUGA
rnacentral:rRNA from 1 species